CUUUAUUAAUUAAUUUGAUAGUUAGUUUAAUAAAAAGUAUAGUAUAUGUUUAUAUGGACCAACUUAUUUUUCUAACAAUUCUAAAAAUCGUUUUUGUAAUGACACGUAGCUACAAAAACAUGUUGUAAUGCUCCAUGAUUAAUAUAUAGGGGAUUCAACCAAUUGUUAAUGAGAAUGGAUUUGUCCGGCGAUGGAAUAUGGUGAAAUUGAGUGUUUACACGGUGACACUUUUAGUUUGAUUUUAUAAGAAAGUAGAAUAUAUAUGGACUCUUUAUACACGUUUGUUGUAAGAAGUUUUGAACCGUUUGUUGCCUUCUGUAAUUCUAUUUGCUUUCCAGUUAGUAUUCGAGUCAUCUACAGCUGUACAAAAAAAAAGAAUCGCUCAACAUACAAGAAGCAAUAAAUAAAAUGUCACUAAACUGGUAAGUAGUACCAGCUUUCUAACCAAAAUUCAGAAUCAUACUAAAACCAAAACCGGGAUGAAUGUACAUGAUGAUAAAAUAUUUAAGGAACCCUCAUUAAAUACAAAGCGACAGAAUUUUUACUAAGGCAACCAUUCAAAGUCUAUAUAAAAUUUUUUUACUAAGGCAACCAUAAUCUCAAUUACAUAACGAACCAUUCAAAGUCUAUAUAAAAUAUGUUUACUAUGGCAACCAUAAUCUCAAUUACAUAUCGAAUUGUUACUAAGGCAACCAUAAUCUCAAUUACAGAAUUUUUACUAAGGCAACCAUAAUCUCAAUUAUAUAGACUUUGAAUGGUUGCCUUUGUUCUUCUCAAGUCGUUAAAGUCUAUCCACGAAGUCUCAAAAAAAAAGAUUAUGUAAUUGCUGAUGUCGAAUCAUUUGUUGUGUUAUAGUCAAAUGGGUCCUCAACAGUUACUUGUAGUUUUUAGUGGGUCAAUUUGGAAUAACGUCAAAUAUAUAGAUUCCAAAGAGAAGAUAAGGUAUAAAUUCUUAAAAUAAUAAUAAUUUCCUAUAAGGUACAAUGUAGAGUAUUAAUUGAUGAGCUUACCUAGCAACUCGAAAAUAAUACAAAGAAUGCAUUGAAUUCAUUAUAUCUAUAUUAACAUUUAUAAAACUGAAUAACACUGAAAACUGCAUCAUAAUCAAAUUUUGUGUAGAAAUUUGAAGCAUGGUAGUUUUCCUAGUUAAAAGGUAUUUUAAUUUUUACUAUUUAAAUAAUUUUAGGUGUGAAUGUGGUUGUCGAUUAGUACAUAAUUUCUAGUUAGAUACAAAAUGUGACACUAUUUUCAUUGACCAAGUGGGAAAUGAAAGAAUUCCAGUGCAAAACGAACUUAUGAAAAGGAUAAUUUAUAACAUGUUUUGAAUCUUUUAUUAUUAGGGUACACCGUUUAAUUACCAAAAACUACUUGGUAUAAUAAGCUUUUAUUUGUGUUAUUGUUAAUUUAGAUCUGAACCUUGUGAUAUGAAUUUUCUAUAGAUUUAGUAACUUAAGCUUUAUCUCAAAGCUUCCCAAACAAUAAUGAAAAAGGGCUCAAAUUAUUUGUACUAAAACUUUGAACAUAAGUACUAAGUACGUAGUCCCCACCUACUACUAAAAGAUAAAGAGCACAUUACUCACAACAUCACUUUGUGUUAAUGGUCCUUCGUUUAUUGGAUCUUUAAAAAACCUAAAAUAGGCUUGUGAACAAUUUGUUUACGAAUAUAUUUUUUUUUUUUUGAAAAAGCACAAUUUGUUUACGAAUAUUUGGAGAAUGAAUUUUUAUAUAAAAAAAACUUUGGAAAAAAAGUCUGUGGUUAGUUUUUUUUCUUAAUCUCAGCAUACACAUGUACAGAUAGACCUUACGUAAUACUUCCUCCGUUCCACAAAGAUAGACUUUAUAGUCUUUACAUAUAUAUUAAUAAAACACAUUAAAUCACUAUAAUAAAUGUAUCGUUUUCUGCAAUUUUCAAUUUUCAAUAUCUUUUAACCAAUAGUAAUUCAAUAAAAUCAAUUAAUUUUCUUGAAGUUUGCAAUUUUUGCAUAGAAAACACAAAAUAUCUAUCUUUGUGAAACAAUUUUUUUUUCUAAAACAUAUAUUUUUUUGAAACGGAGGGAGUAUAACAGCGGCAGAAACAUUAAGAAAAACUUUGUGUUUCAAAAUUUAGCGUAAAUACAUGAUUUUUGUGAGUUAGAUAGGAAUUUAUUAGAAACGAAAGAUGGCGGCCUGAUCCUCACAUGAAUCCAACUAAUAGUUCAAAGGGUCUUUCGGAGCCAUUGAAAUUCAUUUUUCUUAAAAAAACCAAUGAAAAUUUUACACAAGAAAGCAGGUGUAGAGGUUGUUGUUAUAAGAUGGCUGGUCUAGUUACAUUUACAGCGUUAAAAGGGUUUUGUUUGAGGUUCAAGGAUAUAUCAUGACAUCUUAUCUCCGAUCCCCUCAGAUAUUCUAAUUUGUCAAACUGAUGGACGGACGAAGAAAAAGGUUGUCAACUCUACACGCUGAAUUGGAAAAUCUCUCAUAUGAUUCAUAUCUGUGCGAGCAAUAAUAGCAUACAUAAGCGAUCAAAAGAUAUAUCACCACGAGUAAACAUAUCACAUUGUGACCACUUUUUUGACCAGGAAAAAUGAUCAAAAAUAAUUAUCACCUAAUUUUAACCAUUUUGUGAUGAAUACGAAAAAUGGUCAGAAAAUGAUUAGAAAUUUUUAACCAAAACAUAUGGUCAGAAAAUGGUCAGCAAAUAUAUCACAUUUUGACCAAGUUUCCGACCAGCAUAUAUGGUCACAAAUAAUUAUGUCCAUGUUCUGAUCACUUUGUGAUGAAUGAAAAAAAUGGUCAGAAAAUGGUAAAAAUGUUUUAACCAAAACAUAUAGUCAAAAAGUAGUCACAAAAUUGACCAUAUUCUUACCACUUUCUAACAAUUUCCUCAUUAACCUAGAUCUGAAAUUUUAUUUUCACAUUCUCAUCAGUUCAGUUUUCUUCUCAAGCGGCGCCACUGAGCUUCCUUUCUCUAUUUCUCCUUUUUUUUUUUUCUAAUUUCCUUCUUCUUCUCUGUCACUCCAUCAUUGUAACCUCUCUCUUUUCUUCGUUGCAGGUCAAGUUUGGGAAGCUUGUUACUUCUACUCAGCCUUGCUUCAGUCAACAUUCCUCUGCUCUUGCAAGGAAAGGAUUCGUUGAGACAAUGGAAAAAGACAAGACCAAGAAGAACGAGGAAUUAAGAUAUGGUGGAUCCAUGACGAGUGUCCUAUUUCGUUUUUAGUUAUUUUCAAUAUGUGUAUUCUUAUGUCGCUAAACAUCAAUUGUUUUAUUUAAAAUAACAAUUAUUUGAAAUUUAUUCAUAUUUCAUUAAAUUUCACUA